AUUGAACGCUGGCGGCAGGCCUAACACAUGCAAGUCGAGCGGAUGAGGGGAGCUUGCUCCUUGAUUCAGCGGCGGACGGGUGAGUAAUGCCUAGGAAUCUGCCGGGUAGUGGGGGAUAACGUUCCGAAAGGAACGCUAAUACCGCAUACGUCCUACGGGAGAAAGCAGGGGACCUUCGGGCCUUGCGCUAUCAGAUGAGCCUAGGUCGGAUUAGCUAGUUGGUGAGGUAAGGGCUCACCAAGGCGACGAUCCGUAACUGGUCUGAGAGGAUGAUCAGUCACACUGGAACUGAGACACGGUCCAGACUCCUACGGGAGGCAGCAGUGGGGAAUAUUGGACAAUGGGCGAAAGCCUAAUCCAGCCACGCCGCGUGUGUGAAGAAGGUCUUCGGAUUGUAAAGCACUUUAAGUUGGGAGGAAGGGCAGUAAGUUAAUACCUUGCUGUUUUGACGUUACCAACAGAAUAAGCACCGGCUAACUUCGUGCCAGCCGCCGCUGUAA
rnacentral:rRNA from 1 species